rnacentral:rRNA from 1 species
GAUGAACGCUGGCGGCGUGCCUAAUACAUGCAAGUCGAGCGAACAGACGAGGAGCUUGCUCCUCUGACGUUAGCGGCGGAUGGGUGAGUAACACGUGGAUAACCUACCUAUAAGACUGGGAUAACUUCGGGAAACCGGAGCUAAUACCGGAUAAUAUAUUGAACCGCAUGGUUCAAUAGUGAAAGACGGUUUUGCUGUCACUUAUAGAUGGAUCCGCGCCGCAUUAGCUAGUUGGUAAGGUAACGGCUUACCAAGGCAACGAUGCGUAGCCGACCUGAGAGGGUGAUCGGCCACACUGGAACUGAGACACGGUCCAGACUCCUACGGGAGGCAGCAGUAGGGAAUCUUCCGCAAUGGGCGAAAGCCUGACGGAGCAACGCCGCGUGGGUGAUGAAGGUCUUCGGAUCGUAAAACUCUGUUAUUAGGGAAGAACAAAUGUGUAAGUAACUAUGCACGUCUUGACGGUACCUAAUCAGAAAGCCACGGCUAACUACGUG